rnacentral:rRNA from 1 species
UAAGGAAUAUUGGACAAUGGGGGGAACCCGUGAUCCAGCCAUGCCGCGUGUGUGAAGAAGGGCCUUAUGGUUGUAAAGCACUUUAAGCGAGGAGGAGGCUACUAGUAUUAAUACUACUGGAUAGUGGACGUUACUCGCAGAAUAAGCACCGGCUAACUCUGUGCCAGCAGCCGCGGUAAUACAGAGGGUGCGAGCGUUAAUCGGAUUUACUGGGCGUAAAGCGUGCGUAGGCGGCCAUUUAAGUCAAUGUGAAAUCCCCGAGCUUAACUUGGGAAUUGCAUUCGAUACUGGAUGGCUAGAGUAUGGGAGGAGGAUGGUAGAAUUCCAGGUGUAGCGGUGAAAUGCGUAGAGAUCUGGAGGAAUACCGAUGGCGAAGGCAGCCAUCUGGCCUAAUACUGACGCUGAGGUACGAAAGCAUGGGGAGCAAACAGGAUUAGAUACCCUGGUAGUCCAUGCCGUAAACGAUGUCUACUAGCCGUUGGGGCCUUUGAGGCUUUAGUGGCGCAGCUAACGCGAUAAGUAGACCGCCU